rnacentral:rRNA from 1 species
CGACGCCGCGUGCGGGAUGAAGGCCCUCGGGUUGUAAACCGCUGUCACUCGUUAAGAAAGCCUGGGGUAGGCCUCCGGGCUGACGUUAGCGAGAGAGGAAGUCACGGCUAACUUCGUGCCAGCAGCCGCGGUAAGGCGAAGGUGACAACCGUUGCUCGGAAUCACUGGGCAUAAAGCGCGCGUAGGUGGCUAGGUCAGUCCAUGGUGAAACCCCUCGGCUCAACCGAGGAAGUGCCGUGGAUACUGCCUGGCUUGAGGGCGGGAGGGGUGAGUGGAACUCUCGGUGUAGCGGUGAAAUGCGUAGAUAUCGAGAGGAACGCCGGUGGCGAAAGCGACUCACUGGACCGGAUCUGACACUGAUGCGCGAAAGCUAAGGGAGCAAACAGGAUUAGAUACCCUGGUAGUCCUAGCUGUAAACGAUGGGUACUGGGUAGGGGUGGUCCAAUGCCAUCCUUGCCGGAGCAAAUGUGUUAAGUACCCCGCCUGGGGAGUAUGGUCGCAAGGCUA